AAGGAGCGGUGGACUGAUUACGAGUGAGAAUGUUGGCAUUAGUAGCGAGAUGUAGGUGAGAAUCCUACAGGCCGAAUAUCUAAGGUUUCCUCAGGAAGGCUCGUCCGCUGAGGGUUAGUCGGGACCUAAGCCGAGGCCGAAAGGCGUAGGCGAUGGACAACAGGUUGAUAUUCCUGUACCACUACCAUCGUUAUUAUCGAGGGUGUGACGGAGAAGGAUAGUGUGUGCUAGCGAUUGGAAAUGCUAGUCUAAGCGUUUAGGCAGUUACGGUAGGCAAAUCCGCUGUAAUGUUAAUGCUGAGGCGUGAUGGGGAAAGCCCUUGAGGCUGAAGUACAUGAUUCCAUGCUUCCAAGAAAAGCAUCUAGAGAGAGAAGUAGUGCCCGUACCGCAAACCGACACAGGUAGAUGAGGAGAGAAUCCUAAGGCCGGCGGAAGAAUUGCAGUUAAGGAACUAGGCAAAUUGACCCCGUAAGUUAGCGAGAAGGGGUGCCUACGAGAGUAGGCCGCAGAGAAUAGGCCCAAGCAACUGUUUAGCAAAAACACAGGUCUCUGCUAAAGCGCAAGCUGAUGUAUAGGGGCUGACGCCUGCCCGGUGCUGGAAGGUUAAGGGGAACACUUAGCGCAAGCGAAGGUGUGAACUUAAGCCCCAGUAAACGGCGGCCGUAACUAUAACGGUCCUAAGGUAGCGAAAUUCCUUGUCAGGUAAGUUCUGACCCGCACGAAUGGCGUAAUGACUUGGGCACUGUCUCAACUGCAAAUCCGGCGAAGUUGUAGUGCGAGUGAAGAUGCUCGCUACCCGCGAUUGGACGGAAAGACCCCGUAGAGCUUUACUGUAGCUUAGCAUUGAAUUCCGGUAUUGUCUGUACAGGAUAGGUGGGAGACUGGGAAACUAGGGCGUCAGCCUUAGUGGAGUCAUCCUUGGGAUACCACCCUGACAGUACUGGGGUUCUAACAGGAUGCCAUGAAUCUGGUGACUGGACAUUGUUAGGUGGGCAGUUUGACUGGGGCGGUCGCCUCCUAAAAAGUAACGGAGGCGCCCAAAGGUUCCCUCAGAACGGUCGGAAAUCGUUCGUAGAGUGCAAAGGCAGAAGGGAGCCUGACUGCGAGACCUACAAGUCGAGCAGGGACGAAAGUCGGGCUUAGUGAUCCGGUGGUACC
rnacentral:rRNA from 1 species